CUACGGGUUGCUCCAGUGAGGAAUAUUACACAAUGGGGGGAACCCUGAUGCAGCAACGCCGCGUGGAGGAUGACGCAUUUCGGUGUGUAAACUCCUUUUAUAUGUCAAGAAAAUGACGGUAGCAUAUGAAUAAGCACCGGCUAACUCCGUGCCAGCAGCCGCGGUAAUACGGAGGGUGCAAGCGUUACUCGGAAUCACUGGGCGUAAAGGACGCGUAGGCGGGUUGGAAAGUCAGGUGUGAAAUCCUACAGCUUAACUGUAGAACUGCACUUGAAACUUCUAAUCUAGAGUAUGGGAGGGGGAGAUGGAAUUAGUGGUGUAGGGGUAAAAUCCGUAGAUAUCACUAGGAAUACCUAAAGCGAAGGCGAUCUCCUGGAACAUCACUGACGCUAAGGCGUGAAAGCGUGGGGAGCAAACAGGAUUAGAUACCCUUGUAGUC
rnacentral:rRNA from 1 species